CUGCCGCCUCCUCAUCCCUCCAGUUCCACUGCCGCCGCCACCUCCUCCACCCCUGCCGGCCAUCGCACCCCCAUCCCCUCCACCACCUCCGCCGGCUACCGCGCCACCAUCCCCUCCACCUCCGCCGGCCGCCGCGCCCCCAUCCCCUCCAUCACCUCCACCGGCCGCCACGCCCCACCCCCCCCCCCCCCCCCCCCCCCGGCCCCCGCGCCCCACCCCCCCCCACUCCCUCCGCCGGCCGCCGCGCCCCCAUCCCCUCCAUCACCUCCACCGGCCGCCACGCCCCACCCCCUCCACCUCCGCCGGCCGCCGCGCCCCCAUCCCCUCCAUCACCUCCACCGGCCGCCACGCCCCACCCCCCCCCCCCCCCCCCCCACCCGCCGCGCCCCACCCUCUCCACCUCCACCGGCCGUUGCGCUCCUAUCCCCUCCGCCGGCCGUCGCCCCCCCGUCCCCUCCACCACCUCCGCCGGCCACCGCGCCACCAUCUCCUCCACCUCCGCCGGCCGCCGCGCCCCCAUCCCCUCCAUCACCUCCACCGGCCGCCACGCCCCACCCCCCCCCCCCCCCCCCCCCCUGCCGGCCAUCGCCCCCCCAUCCCCUCCACCACCUCUGCCGGCCGUUGCACCACCGUCUCCUCCACUUUGGCCAUUUCCGCAAGGAGUUAGUGCCGUGUUUGUUUGCUCUCACUGUUAAUUAGAUUUUUGUUUGUGAUGUGGUUGUGGUCGAAGGGUAGGUUUUUUUUGUUGCUGUUGGUGUGAAUUCUUGCUUUAUAAAUUCUUUGUACAAGUUAUUGAUGAAUAGAAACUGAUCCAAUAUAUACAUGGAUGCAUUUGUUGAUAUCUUGGAUCAUUAAAAAGCAAUGAAAUACAAUGCAUGAAUUAGGAAAUGGUUAAUUUUGUAGCUGCAAUAUAUUGCUUUUGAAAUUAACUAGCAGUGACUGGGCAUUCAGUCUUUUGGUUUUAAUUGCCCUAAACAAGGGCUUAUCAACCAAAUUUGACAACAAUAUCGAGCAUUGACUUCUUGUCUUUCCGAGCAGUUCAAUAUUUGUGAUGAUUUUGUCCAGAAGAGAUGGAAAUAAUGCGUCGCAUGUGCCCUAUGCAGCUGAGAGUAUGAAAAAAAUCUAACACCUUUUACAAUGUAUGGUUUCUUUGGCGAUUAUUUUACACUGUAUGGUUUCACAUGUACCUUUUUCUGGUUAGGGGAGAUUAUUUUUGGAGUGCUUCUAUAUAGUUUCUUUGGCUCUACCUUAGUGAAAGUACCUAUCAUCUCUUAUGGCAGAUAAUUAGUGAAGAAUCAUUAUUUUUUUUCUAUAUAUCCUUUAUCAAAGUUCCAAGUGAUGUAACAGAAUAUCCUUUUUUGAAUACUUGCUGAACAUGUUAAUUUGACAGUAAGGAAAAAAGUUGUAUAUAUUAAAAUUGAUCAAGGUUUGUACUGUCGUUGUUCCUCUUUUGUUCAUGAACCACCUUUUGGUCCAUCAUUUUGAAUCUUGGCACCGGUAACAAAACUAAUUUUUUGUCCUUGUUUUUUUUCCUCUCCCGUAUUUACAAAUCUUUGUGUACAGUGUAAAUCAUAAAAUAAUUAGUGCAUGUGUGGGUGAGGUAAUGGAGAAUGCAGGAAGCCAUGCACCUUAAUUGUCUACUAUUAAAGGUCAAGUAGUCACAAAAUUCCACCUUAUUUGUGGUAAAUAAUCACCUUUUUCAAUUAUUUUCAAUUCAUCUGGUGGUGUGAAGAAACGCCAAGGAGCCACUGCUGACCUGCUGAAGAUGCGGACAGGUAUAGCUUUUUGCACGCUAUUGCUAUAGUUCUGAUUAUUUUCAAUUAUUUUUAAUUUCAAUGUUUUUCCUAAGAUUUUUCAUUGAGUAGUUCUGAUUCGCACCUCCUUGCAAUCGCUAACAGAUAUGAGGCAUCUAACCAGGUAUGUAAAUCAAUUAAUUAAACUGGAAUCAAACCGGUUAGUACUCAACAAACUGAUUAGUCUAUCUGUGACAGGUUGUGCUUCCUUUUGUUACCAGCCUUUCUUAUUAUGGACAGCUGCUUGAUGGAAUUUUCAAUACGAUGGACAGCCUUUUCUAGGGCAGUACUACAUCACUUUGGUAAUUUCAAUACGGUUUUCGAAAUACUGUAUCAACAAUCCCAUAUUUGACCUUUACAACUUCAGGUAGAUCUCCUAAAAUCUAGGAUGUGAUCUUUAUAACUUCAUGAUAUACUUAGAUUAGUAUGCUGAAGUAUAUAUUAUUGCUCUUGGACCUUGGUUAGGACGUGAUCUUUGCAACUUCAUACUAAAUUCAUAUUACACCAUGUAUAGAAAUUAUCUGAAUUAGCACCAGAUUUGGAAUGCAUGUACCUUUAAAGUCUAGAUUGCUUCUUGAACAUGAGCUGAUUAUGAUCCUUUACAUGAUGAUACCGGUGAACAAUAUUUGUUUCAUGAUGGCAUUGCUAAGGUGAUGAUUCUUCUACUUGACAGUGGUUGUA
rnacentral:lncRNA from 1 species